GUGAGGAAUAUUGGGCAAUGGGCGCAAGCCUGACCCAGCAACGCCGCGUGAAGGAAGACGGUCUUCGGAUUGUAAACUUCUUUUGUCAGGGACGAAUAAUGACGGUACCUGACGAAUAAGCCACGGCUAACUACGUGCCAGCAGCCGCGGUAAUACGUAGGUGGCAAGCGUUAUCCGGAUUUACUGGGUGUAAAGGGCGUGUAGGCGGGAAAGCAAGUCAGAUGUGAAAACUAUGGGCUCAACCCAUAGCCUGCAUUUGAAACUGUUUUUCUUGAGUACUGGAGAGGCAGAUGGAAUUCCUAGUGUAGCGGUGAAAUGCGUAGAUAUUAGGAGGAACACCAGUGGCGAAGGCGAUCUGCUGGACAGCAACUGACGCUGAGGCGCGAAAGCGUGGGGAGCAAACAGGAUUAGAAACCCGGGUAGUCC
rnacentral:rRNA from 1 species